GACGAACGCUGGCGGCGUGCCUAACACAUGCAAGUCAACUUGACUGAAGGAGCAAUCUGACAGUAGAGUGGCGCAAGGGUGCGUAACGCGUAAGUAACUUGCCCAAGGUAAGGAAUAACGUCGAGAAAUCGGCGCUAAUACCUCAUAAUGCAGCGGAUCCGCAUGGAUAUGUUGUUAAAGGUUUACCGCCUUGGGAUAGGCUUGCGUCUGAUUAGUUAGUUGGUGUGGUAACGGCACACCAAGGCUACGAUCAGUAACUGGUCUGAGAGGAUGAUCAGUCACACUGGAACUGAGACACGGUCCAGACUCCUACGGGAGGCAGCAGUGAGGAAUAUUGGGCAAUGCUCGAAAGAGUGACCCAGCAACGCCGCGUGGAGGAUGAAGGUAUUCUAUAUCGUAAACUCCUGUGAGAGCAGACGAAAGACAGAUUAUUAAUCUGGAUGACUGUAUGCUCAGAGGAA
rnacentral:rRNA from 1 species